UACGGAGGGUGCAAGCGUUAAUCGGAAUUACUGGGCGUAAAGCGCACGCAGGCGGUUUGUUAAGUCUGAUGUGAAAUCCCCGGGCUCAACCUGGGAACUGCAUCGGAGACUGGCAAUCUUGAGUCUGGUAGAGGGGGGUAGAAUUCCAGGUGUAGCGGUGAAAUGCGUAGAGAUCUGGAGGAACACCGAUGGCGAAGGCAGCCCCCUGGACGAAGACUGACGCUCAGGUGCGAAAGCGUGGGGAGCAAACAGG
rnacentral:rRNA from 1 species